GAGGGCGGCUGCCUUAACAUGCAAGUCGAACGGUAACAGGGAGCUUGCUCCGCUGACGAGUGGCGAACGGGUGAGUAAUACAUCGGAACGUGCCCAGUAAUGGGGGAUAGCUCGGCGAAAGCCGGAUUAAUACCGCAUACGCCCUGAGGGGGAAAGUGGGGGACCGCAAGGCCUCACGUUAUUGGAGCGGCCGAUGGCUGAUUAGCUAGUUGGUAGGGUAAAGGCCUACCAAGGCGACGAUCAGUAGCUGGUCUGAGAGGACGAUCAGCCACACUGGGACUGAGACACGGCCCAGACUCCUACGGGAGGCAGCAGUGGGGAAUUUUGGACAAUGGGGGAAACCCUGAUCCAGCAAUGCCGCGUGUGCGAAGAAGGCCUUCGGGUUGUAAAGCACUUUUGUCAGGGAAGAAAUCCUUUGGGCUAAUACCCUAGGGGGAUGACGGUACCUGAAGAAUAAGCACCGGCUAACUACGUGCCAGCAGCCGCGGUAAUACGUAGGGUGCAAGCGUUAAUCGGAAUUACUGGGCGUAAAGCGUGCGCAGGCGGUUGUGUAAGACAGGUGUGAAAUCCCCGGGCUUAACCUGGGAAUUGCAUUUGUGACUGCACGACU
rnacentral:rRNA from 1 species